CAAUAGCGUAUAUUAAAGUUGUUGCAGUUAAAAAGCUCGUAGUUGGAUUUCUGGUGGGAGCGAUCGGUCUGGCGCUUAGCGCGAGUACUUGCAUCGUCUCCGGCCAUCCUUGGGGAGAGUCUGUCUGGCAUUAAGUUGUCGGGCAGAGGAUCCUCAUCGUUUACUGUGAAAAAAUUAGAGUGUUCAAAGCAGGCUUAUGCCGUUGAAUAUAUUAGCAUGGAAUAAUAAGAUAGGACUUUGGUACUAUUUUGUUGGUUUGCGCACCAAAGUAAUGAUUAAUAGGGACAGUUGGGGGUAGUCGUAUUCCGUUGUCAGAGGUGAAAUUCUUGGAUUUACGGGAGACGAACUACUGCGAAAGCAUUUACCAAGGAUGUUUUCAUUAA
rnacentral:rRNA from 1 species